UCCAGCUUGGAAGGACACCAGCCGGCCGAGGAGGCACCUCAGCACCAAGGACAGGCCGACCAGAUAGGCUCCUCCGGCCGCAGCGGCGGGCGCAGACUCUCGGUCCGGCGCAUCGUACCGACGGUGUGAGGAGGCGGCGGCGUCCGCAGAGGUGUUUCUGUCAGGCAGGGCUCAUCGUUUGUCUAUCGAACAGAUCAGCUUGGAUUCCUCCACCUCUCUGACAGAGACAGCUGAGCUGAAUUCAACAUGUCAAGCACACAGAUAGACAACAUCUCUGCAAACUCUGAAGCGAAGAAAACAGACCUGAGAAUGAAUGAGAAGAAAUGCUCGUGGGCUUCCUAUAUGACUAAUUCCCCAACAGUGAUCGUAAUGAUCGGCCUGCCUGCAAGAGGGAAGACGUACAUGUCAAAGAAACUCACACGUUACCUCAACUGGAUCGGAGUCCCAACUAAAGUGUUUAACUUAGGCGUGUACCGCAGAGAGGCUGUCAGAGCUUAUAAGUCCUAUGACUUCUUCCGCCACGACAAUGAGGAGGCCAUGAAAAUCAGGAAGCAGUGUGCUUUGGUAGCUCUGCAGGAUGUGAAGGCAUACUUGACGAAGGAGGGAGGUCAGAUCGCGGUUUUUGAUGCAACAAACACAACAAGAGAACGACGAGACCUCAUUCUGUCUUUUGUGAAGGAGAAUUCAUUCAAGGUGUUCUUUGUGGAGUCAGUGUGUGACGACCCAGAGGUUAUUGCUGCUAAUAUUCUGGAAGUGAAAGUGUCCAGUCCUGACUACCCUGAGAGACACAGAGAGAGAGUAAUGGAUGACUUCCUCAAGCGAAUUGAGUGCUACAAGGUUACGUACCAACCAUUAGACCCUGAUGAUUAUGACAAGGACCUGUCUUUCAUCAAGGUGAUGAAUGUGGGCCGACGUUUCCUAGUGAACCGGGUGCAGGACUACAUCCAGAGUAAGAUUGUCUACUACCUCAUGAACAUCCAUGUGCACUCUCACUCCAUCUACCUGUGUCGGCACGGAGAGAGCAACCACAACGUCGAAGGCCGCAUCGGAGGAGACUCCGAGCUUUCUCCUCGAGGGAAACAGUACGCCCAUGCCCUGCGAGAUUUUAUUGAGGAGCACAAACUGUCAGAUUUGAAGGUGUGGACGAGCCAACUGAGAAGAACCAUCCAGACAGCGGAGGAGCUGGGGGUUCCUUAUGAACAGUGGAAGAUACUCAACGAGAUUGAUGCUGGUGUGUGUGAGGAGAUGACUUACGAGUUGAUCCAGAAGACAUUCCCAGAGGAGUUUGCUUUGAGAGACCAGGACAAGUACCACUAUCGCUAUCCAGGAGGAGAGUCAUACCAAGACCUUGUUCAACGUUUGGAGCCAGUUAUCAUGGAGUUAGAGAGACAGGGCAACGUGUUGGUCAUUUGCCACCAGGCUGUGAUGCGCUGUCUGCUAGCUUACUUCCUGGACAAGAGUGCAGAAGAUCUGCCGUACAUGAAAUGUCCGCUCCACACAAUACUCAAGCUAACACCCGUUGCAUAUGGUUGUAAAGUGGAAAUGUUUUAUCUUAAUGUGGAGGCAGUAAACACACACCGAGACCGGCCUCUUGGUAAAAUCCCGAGGGACUCUGCUCUCAUACACCGGCGGAAUAGUUACACUCCCUUGUCCAGUCACGACCAGGUCAAGCGUCCCAGGCUCUACAGCGCGGGCAACCAGCCCUGGCUACCGCUCGCCCCCACCCCAUCAGCUCUGAUGCCAGAGGGACGGCAAAGCCAAGUUAGUGCCAGAGUUACAGGCUCCCCCUCUAAAUCAGUCACCGUCGGCUGUAAUCAGUCACCUCCCACCACAGUUGUAACCCUGUGUUUGGCAUUCCCUCGUCUCAGUUUUGGACCCUCUCGAUGAUUUAGUGUCUGUGUUCAAAGUGACGUACUGUACAUGGAAUCCAUCUUUCUAUCUAUCUAUCUCUCUCUCUCUCUCAGGGCAUGUUUUUGGAUCUUGAAUGGAUUGCUCUCUUCUCUUUUUAAUGUCGUGCCUGCCUGUUUCCAAAGUCAGAUGUUUGUCUGUUUGCAUGACAUCUGCUUCACCACUGGGCUGUCUCCGGCUUGAAUAUGCAGAACAGCAUGCCUACUUUUUCGCUGAGGAGAGCUCCUCAUGAAUUAGCCUUUGUGAGAUACAAAAGACACACAAACAUCAAACAAAGACAUCUUGCACUAUAUUUUCUAUUUUCUAUCAGUGAUAAUGAACACGUUAAUUUACAAUCUAUAAUUAUGAUUCAAUUUUUUAAAACCGAAUUUAGAAAUUUGAGAGCAAUGUGAGAUAAUGAACAUAAUACAUAAACAACAGAUUUCAAACUUUUUUUAAAUUUAAAAAUGCAUAUUCAUAUUCGUAUGUGUUGUGUAUUUGUUGGCCUUGCCUUGUGGGUACAGUGCUUCAGCCCUUCUCCACAUUUCUAUCUAUCUAUCUAUCUAUAUAUCUCUCUCUCUCUCUCUCUCUCUCUCUCUUUCUCUCGCUCUCUCCACUUUCUUCAAAUCUGUCUUACAGCCUCGGAUAGGAAGCGGUUGUCUGAAUCCCUGUGCGAAGGAAUCGACUUUGACAGCCCAGAAGAAACUCGUGGCUGUGUCCGCUUCUGAGUGAAGACGAAAAAGUGUCUCUCUACAUCGCACAAAACAACUCUCCUGGAAAUUAACAGCUUCUUCAGAAAAAGCUCAACCGUUAUCUCAAACUCACGGGUUAUCUUUACUCUGCAUGCCGAGGCUUUGAACGGGAAGCCUUAUCAUUAGUAUCAUAAAUACUUCUGCAUGUGUGGCAAAAAUCAAUCAUCAGUCAAUCAAUCAGUGUAAAUUACUGCAAUGCCUUACUGAACUUUAAGCAUAUUGAUAGACUUAGCUCCUCUGAAUGUAAUGAGAACAAGUUAUGCAUUAGUAUGAUAAACAGUUUUCACUAUCGCAGAGAGAGCAUGUGAUAAAGUAGAUGCUGUAAAAAUAUUUUUAUAACAGUCUGCAGUUCAGCCAUCAUCUGUCAAGUGUUAUGUUAUUGAGUUAGUUUAGAUUAUGUAUGAAUGUAUGCUCUGAAGGAAAUUAAAAUACUGUACUGAGUUUA